rnacentral:rRNA from 1 species
UCCAGACUCCUACGGGAGGCAGCAGUGGGGGAUAUUGCACAAUGGGGGAAACCCUGAUGCAGCGACGCCGCGUGAGUGAAGAAGUAUUUCGGUAUGUAAAGCUCUAUCAGCAGGGAAGAACAAAGACGGUACCUGACUAAGAAGCCCCGGCUAACUACGUGCCAGCAGCCGCGGUAAUACGUAGGGGGCAAGCGUUAUCCGGAUUUACUGGGUGUAAAGGGAGCGUAGACGGCAAUACAAGUCGGAAGUGAAAUACCCGGGCUUAACCUGGGAACUGCUUUGGAAACUGUAUGGCUGGAGUGCUGGAGAGGUAAGCGGAAUUCCUAGUGUAGCGGUGAAAUGCGUAGAUAUUAGGAGGAACACCAGUGGCGAAGGCGGCUUACUGGACAGUAACUGACGUUGAGGCUCGAAAGCGUGGGGAGCAAACAGGAUUAGAUACCCCUGUAU